AGGUAGAAUGGCUGAGUGGUUAGACGGCAGGCUGUAGUCCUGCAAACAUGGGUUUAAGUCCUGUUUCUAU
rnacentral:tRNA from 1 species